CCAAUAGGCCAGGAAAACACUUUUUGUUGAAAGUAGCUGUAAUAUCAGUGAGCCACCACGUACACCAUUAAGACAGAGAAGAAAACACACCUACAAGAAUUUUGGCUCAUUUCUUGUGGAAGAAGUGACCAAGGACCAGAAAUUGUGGGUGGUUGCUGAGGCUCUGGAUGCCAUCUUUGAUGUGUUUGCAGAUGAUCAUCUGGACUUGUUGUCAUGGAGAUCAGAGUAACAAACAAACUCCAGACCAUAUGGUACCACAGCUGAUAGCUAAGAUUCAUCAACUGAAGAGAAACCUAGGAGACCACUUUACUAUCAGCAUGACAGCAAGGACAAAUCUGAUAUACUUCAUCAAAUGCAAAUCUUGACC